rnacentral:rRNA from 1 species
UACGUAGGUGCGAGCGUUGUCCGGAAUUAUUGGGCGUAAAGGGCUCGUAGGCGGUUUGUCGCGUCGGGAGUGAAAACACCGGGCUUAACUCGGUGCUUGCUUUCGAUACGGGCAGACUAGAGGCAUGCAGGGGAGAACGGAAUUCCUGGUGUAGCGGUGAAAUGCGCAGAUAUCAGGAGGAACACCGGUGGCGAAGGCGGUUCUCUGGGCAUGUCCUGACGCUGAGGAGCGAAAGUGUGGGGAGCGAACAGG